CUAUGCUACUUGCUGUCUUUGUAACUUGAAAAAGUUACUCAACUCCUUUUAGUAUCAGUCUGUCAUGGGUAAAUGAUUUGCUAUGAAGAAUACAGUAAAAGUUAUAGAAAAUGGAGAGAAAAAUCGAAUGACCUAUCAGAGUAUAGCAAUUGUUUUUGGUCCCACUCUAUUAAAACCAGAAAAAGAGACUGGUAAUAUAGCAGUUCAUACUGUGUACCAGAAUCAGAUUGUAGAAUUAAUUCUUCUGGAACUGAGUUCCAUCUUCGGACGUUGAUUCUUACUGAAGACAACCUGUGGAAUAGAAGCUGGAUUCCAUCAGAUUUCAAAUGUUUAUACACAGUGUAUUUUAUUUUUUGGACCAAGCAGUGACUCUUUGAUUUUGCACUUUUUUUUUUGAGGGAUCAGAAGGGAAGGGGAGAGUCGAGAUGUGUGUUAGGCCCUCAUAUUUGCUGCUUUGUUGCAAGUUGAUAUAACUGCAUGUAAUUAUGAAUUCAUUUUAUCCUGAAUGUUUGCAUUUCAUACUCUGAAUUUCAGUAAAAAUCAAAACUUAAAAUUCUAACCAGUCAUAUACACUGGAUAAUUUGGUAAGAAAACUGUAUUUUUUUUCCCUGAAAUUGGAUAAUGUACUUUCUUCUCAAGAUUCAUGACUUGAUAGAACAAUACUUUCAGUUAUGUUGCAAAGGCUCUUGGGCAUUUUAAACAAAAUGAAGUAUAUCCAUUUUGAAACCUGUGUAUUUCUUUUUCGGGGUUUCUGCAUGCAGUGGCAGUCUUAAGUGCCAAAAUUCAUUAUAACCCCAAAAUAACCCCUUGAUGAAGGCUUGCUGUCUUUUACUGUGUUACACAGCAUCCUUACUGGAUAUCUUAGUUGCUUGUUUGGGCAGCACACUAAUAUUACUUAAAACACUGUGAUAUACUGGAGUUUUAGUUAGUGGAAGUCAGUUCAGGGCAUUUUAGGGCUGUCUUGCUAUACUGAAUUGUAGCUAACAAUCCUAAUUAUAUCUAGUACCAUACUGAGUUAUUGGUAUGACCCUGUGGAAACACACAUUAUUUUAUGUAAAUAUAGGCUAAAGACUUAAUGUCCUUUAGCUUGUGUAUAUAAUUGUGUUGUAUAGUCUCAGAGUACAUUCUAACCCUACAUUUCUAAUCAUUGUUAUUGGUAAUCUUUUCUGUGAAUAUUAGGUUUCCUCCAGAAAUAGUCCGUUAUUUGGGAAAGUUAACUGUGUGCACUUUUAGAUAUUAACUACAUUUACAGGCAAAUCACUGUAAUGAGAAUGGUACUGGAAAAAUACUGAAUAGACUUUCUAAAUGGCACAUGCACUACAAGAGGAACCUUUUGGGUUAUUUAAUAUGUACAGAAAAUAUUAGAAAAAAUUUAUUACAGAAUUCUAAUUCCAGUAUGAAUAGUGGAAACCCAUCUGUAAAUUAGAUGGAUGUUGGGUGGAAAAUGACAUUGCUAAAUUUGAGAAUUUCUUUUUACCUACUAAUGUAGAUUGCUUUGUAUAAUAAAACACAGGGUUUGGAAGGUUUUGUUACAGGGAGCAUGGUCUGUUGAAGAUUUUUAAAAUGUAUUUUUCUAGAUUAACUUCUGUACCUGAAAUGUCUAAUAAAACUAUAAGAGGUUUAGAGAUUUUUCCAUUGGAAA
rnacentral:sRNA from 1 species